rnacentral:rRNA from 1 species
AACGAACGCUUGCGGCGCGCUUAACACAUGCAAGUCGAACGAGAAAGGUUCCUUCGGGAGCCGAGUAAAGUGGCGCACGGGUGAGUAACGCGUAGGUAAUCUACCCCUGUAUCUGGGACAACAUCGGGAAACUGGUGCUAAUACCGGAUACGCCUGAUUUGGCGCGAGUCAUAUCAGGGAAAGGUGACCUCUCCUUGGAAGUUACCGUACAGGGAUGAGCCUGCGUACCAUUAGCUAGUUGGUGGGGUAAAGGCUUACCAAGGCAACGAUGGUUAGCGGGUCUGGGAGGAUGAUCCGCCACACUGGAACUGAAACACGGUCCAGACUCCUACGGGAGGCAGCAGUGAGGAAUAUUGCGCAAUGGGGGCAACCCUGACGCAGCGACGUCGCGUGGGUGAAGAAGGUUUUCGGAUCGUAAAACCCUGUCAGGUGGGAAGAAAUGCUAUCUGGUUAAUACCCAGUUAGUUUGACGGUACCACCAGAGGAAGCACCGGUUAACUCCGUGCCAGCAGCCGCGGUAAUACGGAGGGUGCGAGCGUUGUUCGGAAUUACUGGGCGUAAAGGGCGCGUAGGCGGUGUAUCAAGUCAGAUGUGAAAGCCCGCGGCUUAACCGUGGAAGUGCAUCUGAAACUGGUACGCUAGAGUAUGGUAGGGGAAAGUGGAAUUCCUGGUGUAGAGGUGAAAUUCGUAGAUAUCAGGAGGAACACCUGAGGCGAAGGCGACUUUCUGGACCAAUACUGACGCUGAGGCGCGAAAGCGUGGGGAGCAAGCAGGAUUAGAUACCCUGGUAGUCCACAGCUGUAAACGAUGUGCACUAGGUGUAGGGGGCGUUGACCCUUCUGUGCCGGAGCUAACGCAUUAAGUGCACCGCCUGGGGAGUACGGUCGCAAGAUUAAAACUCAAAGGAAUUGACGGGGGCCCGCACAAGCGGUGGAGUAUGUGGUUUAAUUCGAAGCAACGCGAAGAACCUUACCUGGGCUUGACAUCCCGGGAAUCCCUUGGAAACAGGGGAGUGCCUUCAUCCGAAGGAACCUGGUGACAGGUGCUGCAUGGCUGUCGUCAGCUCGUGUCGUGAGAUGUUGGGUUAAGUCCCGCAACGAGCGCAACCCUCGCCUUUAGUUGCCAUCAUUAAGUUGGGCACUCUAGAGGGACUGCCCCGGUUAACGGGGAGGAAGGUGGGGAUGACGUCAAGUCCUCAUGGCCUUUAUGUCCAGGGCUACACACGUACUACAAUGGCCGGUACAAAGGGCAGCGACUUCGCGAGGAGUAGCCAAUCCCAUAAAGCCGGUCUCAGUCCGGAUCGGAGUCUGCAACUCGACUCCGUGAAGUUGGAAUCGCUAGUAAUCGUGGACCAGCAUGCCACGGUGAAUACGUUCCCGGGCCUUGUACACACCGCCCGUCACACCACGAAAGUCGGUUGUACCAGAAGCGGUUGGGCCAACCCGCAAGGGAGGCAGGCUGCCAAGGUAUGGUCGGUAAUUGGGGUG